rnacentral:rRNA from 1 species
UACGGAGGGGGCUAGCGUUGUUCGGAAUUACUGGGCGUAAAGCGAGUGUAGGUGGUUGUCCAAGUUGGAUGUGAAAGCCUUGAGCUCAACUCAAGAAAUGCAUUCAGGACUGGGCGGCUAGAGGACCGGAGAGGAUAGUGGAAUUCCCAGUGUAGUGGUGAAAUACGUAGAGAUUGGGAAGAACACCAGUGGCGAAGGCGGCUAUCUGGACGGUUUCUGACACUAAGACUCGAAAGCGUGGGGAGCAAACAGG